rnacentral:ncRNA from 1 species
CCUUGAAGAGCGUUAUAUCAAACGAGAGUAGUUUACUAUAGAUUUGUAUCUAUAGGCAACAAAAUCGGACGUGAUGAACAAGGAA